UCUAUCAAUAACCGAGCCGGAUCUGGUGUAUCAUAAGGGAUUUGCCUUUUCUAUUGAUUCCUGCGGAUUGGAUCAAAAACAAUUCUUGAAUGAGGCGAGGGAUGAAUGUUGUAGUUCUAAGGAGCAGUUUAUUCUUUCUGCAUUUUGUUUUAAGAUUUUGUUUGUGGAAGCUUGUUUUGUUUGAGUUGGGGGGGUGAUUUUACAUACUGGAAAGGAGAUGAAAUUUCUGGGAAAUCGAUGAUUUAUGUGUUUUUAAAAGUAGCAAGGGGACCUCCACUUUUUGUUUUUGCUUUUAGAUUUUUUUUAAUGCUUAUGUCUAAGAUUUUCAUAGGUUAUGUUCAGCUGAUCUCACGAGAUCUAAACUCUUAGUUGCCCCUAAUCUAAUUAAAUCGACAGACUCACAUGGAAAAUUGGGUUAGUUAAUACUGAGCAGGUUUCUUGAUUGGGUUUGAAAACGAGUCCUUCAUGGAAUUUGGAACUGUGGACAGUGGACUGCAUUGACAGUGUGAGCUUCUCAAGUCCUUCUUCAUGUUAAAAAAUACGCAAAAAGGAUCUGAAGAAGAUCUCCGGUUAGGUAUAGGGAUAUUGGAUCUAACUUUGUUGAGCGAGUAAGUGAAGACUAAAAGUGAUUUUGGUGAGAUUGAAAGAAGAAUUCCUGAAUCAUAAGGUGGAAGAAGUUGCUCACUGUGCAUCUGCAAAAGAAUUAAUUUAUUCGUCUUUUGAAAACAAGUACAUGGAUCAAUGAUGAAAAUUUUGGGGGAUUGUUUACAGAUAUGUGUUGAGAUGGUUAGGAAUGAUAAAGCAACUAGCCAGAAUAUCAGGAGUCGGUACCUCUUACUUAUCAAAAGAAGAAAAAAAGAAAAAGGAAAAAGAAAUGUCAGGAACAAUAAUAUCAUGCUCAUAGGUGCCAAAGAUAUCAGCAAUCAUGAAAAAGAAGAACUGAGUAAGAAGAUGGUAAGAUUUGCCUUAUUUUGAUGCAAGAAGGCUUGAAUAGAAGACAUGCUCCAUCCUUUCCCGAUAUUGCAUGAAAUUGGCUUCGAGGAGGGGAUAAAAGAAAAGAUAUGACUUGAGGAUCUCAACAAUUAAAAGUGGUACAUAUUUUGUUGUGAUGCUGUAGAUUGGAAAGAUUGAAAAUAAAGAAUUUUGAUAUCUCUGUCUCAUUUGAUUGAGAUGGAAUUUGUAUAUGCUCUGUUUGCUUGCUCAAGAGGGGUUGCUCUGAUGGUAAGCAACCCCCACUUCCAACCGAGAGGUUGUGAGUUCGAGUCUCUCUAAGAGCAAGGUGGGAAGUUCUUGGAGGGAAGGUUGGCGGGGGUCUAUUUGGAAACAGCCUCUCUACCCAAGGGUAGGGGGAAGGNNNNNNNNNNNNNNNNNNNNNNNNNNNNNNNNNNNNNNNNNNNNNNNNNNNNNNNNNNNNNNNNNNNCUCUACCCCAGGGUAGGGGUAAGGUCUGCGUACACACUACCCUCCCAGACCCCACUAAGUGGGAUUAUGCUGGGUUGUUGUUGUUGUUGUUGUUGCUGCUUGCUCAAACAUAUUUCUUUCCCUUAUAUUAUCCUUUUUAAACCAGGGGUCUUUGGCUGACUCAGCUAAUUUUCAGUUUGACAAAAUGUUAAAUUGUGUCUUUUUUUUUUGGGUAAAUAAAACAAAUUUUAUUAACCAACUGGAAGUAUUACAACCAAAAAAAUUGCAGCACUACAAGACACACUUUGAGUAGAACACAACUCAGUCACAUCUAAGCUUCAGGCCCUGGCUAACACACUAAACAGGAUAAAAGUUCAGGGUUUGCAACUUCAACUCUAACUUAGGCAUUGAAUGUCCCCUAUUGAAGAUCUCCUGGAUAAUAGUUUUGAUAAUAAGCUCAGUGCUCCUCCUCUUUCCCUGGAAAAGUCUCAUGUUUCUUUCUUUCCAAAGAUGAUACACACUACCAGCUAUAGCCAUUUUGAGAAUAUGAGCAUCGGCCGUUUCCGCUUUGCAAUUAGUCACCAUCCACUGCAGCUCUUCUUGCCAUCCUAGAGCCAAAAAAUGUAACUUUACUUACGUCUUUGCAUUGACACUACUCUUUGUUGAUGAAACCCCAUGAAAGUGUUUGCUUUUUGUCUAGUUUGACUUUUGGUAUUACUAGCAGGAAGUAGCAGUGCUAUUCUCUCUUAAAGCUCAUUAUAAACUCUUUGGAUUGCAAUUUGUCAAUAAGAAAAACUGUUUUAUUUGCCAUAAUCAUUUCUUCGCUGAAAGCUCUUUGAAAGUGUGGAGAUGCUAACUCACUCACGUGCGACCCGAAACUGUGUUGGGAUGAACUUCUUUCGACUCUUGCCACUUGCUAAAGUGGAGGCAAGAGCUUU
rnacentral:lncRNA from 1 species